CUCAUCUCUAGAUUGAAGCUUUAAUUAUAGAAAACAAAAUAACACAGCAUCGAUAUUUGGAUAAGACUUCAGAAGACAAAAUUAAAUAAAAAAAAAGUAAUACACACAAAUCGUCGCUAAUUCCUUCGUUCGCCAAUGUUAAUGCAAAAAUUCAUGUGACUGUGAUCAAGUCGGCGAACGAUAGCGGACUUUAGACCGAGCAGUGCCGGCAUGCAGCAAAUUUAAAUAAAAUUAAGUUUUCCUAGUUACAAAUCUUUCGUGAAACCAAAUUAGCCUCGCACUGCUGCCCGCAACAGGUUCACAGAGACCGACUCUCUCGCACUCACUGCCGUUACCGCUACCUGCUCCGCCGCCACGACAACGAUAUUUUUCGGCUUGUUUAUAAGUUUUGCUCAUCAGUCCCACAAAUUCGUCUACUAUGGCAGUUGUUGAAAAUGUUCAGAAUACGCCCACAGAGCGCAAGGCGAAUCCGCUUAAAUCUUUUAUCACUGGAGGUUUUGGCGGCAUUUGCAAUGUUCUCUCCGGGCAUCCUCUUGACACUAUUAAGGUUCGUUUACAGACAAUGCCACGGCCAGCACCUGGGGAGCAGCCCUUGUAUCGCGGCACCUUCGAUUGCGCAGCCAAGACCAUACGGAAUGAAGGCGUUCGCGGUCUGUACAAGGGUAUGUCCGCACCACUGACGGGGGUGGCGCCCAUAUUCGCCAUGUGCUUUGCCGGCUAUGCACUGGGAAAGAGGCUGCAACAGCGCGGUGAGGAAGCUAAGCUCACGUAUCCGCAAAUCUUUGUUGCCGGCUCGUUCUCCGGCCUGUUCUCCACGUUCAUCAUGGCGCCCGGCGAGCGCAUCAAGGUGCUCCUGCAAACACAGGGCAUUGGCCCUGGCGGCGAAAAAAAAUACACUGGAAUGAUCGAUUGCGCUGUCAAGCUAUAUAAGGAGGGUGGUCUGCGUAGUGUUUUCAAAGGCAGCUGUGCAACGAUGCUCAGGGAUAUGCCUGCCAACGGUCUCUACUUUCUGAGCUAUGAGAUCUUAACGGAUCAGUACAAACGUCGAUUUGACCGGCCCAAUGUGGAUUUAAUGCCGGCUAUACUUGCAGGAGGACUGGCGGGAAUAUUUUAUUGGAUCGGCGGUAUGCCCGCUGAUGUGCUCAAAAACCGGCUGCAAUCCGUCUAUUUUUUUGCAGUGAUAGCGGCUGAACGAGGCGGUACUCGUAAAAGUUAGAUUGCGUAUACCCUUACUGCAAGGCGCAGGACAUUGUAAGCAAGGCUCUGCAAGGUUGAACACCAAAUGCAAGAAUGUCACAACUUCCCUCCGAUGAUGGAGCUGCAGCUGCCACAAUCUUAUCACUAAGGAAUUCGUUGCUACUUAGGCUAUCUUACGAUCGUGAUUAUCAAAAUUAAACAGCUUUCGCUUCAUAUUCGCAUGCUUGGAUAUAGUAUAG
rnacentral:misc_RNA from 1 species